rnacentral:lncRNA from 1 species
GGGGUCUCCUCUUCCAUAGGACCACGUGCCAUUUUGGGGCAAAUGUCUACAGCAGCUGACUACUUCCUCUCCAAGAGAAAAUGACGCAUUUCACAUCUUCCCAGCGCAGUUCCAGGCGCCUUUCUUCCACAAGACUUGGCAUUCUGUCCUCCCGAUGAGCCACUUUACCCUCUGCAACUUCAAAUGCAUUCGGACUGAAAGCAGCCCUAAAUGGGCAAGCGGCGUCCUGCCCACAGGCCUCGCACAGAGUGAGCAUUUGAAGGAGCAGCAAAGGGCCCAGUGUCCAUGUCCUGGAGGAGAUGUCCACACUGCCCAGGGAAGGACUGGGAACAGGAGAGAAUUUCU